AACAGGAUUAGAUACCCUGGUAGUCCAUGCCGUAAACGUUGGGCACUAGGUGUGGGGCUCAUUCCACGAGUUCCGUGCCGCAGCAAACGCAUUAAGUGCCCCGCCUGGGGAGUACGGCCGCAAGGCUAAAACUCAAAGAAAUUGACGGGGGCCCGCACAAGCGGCGGAGCAUGCGGAUUAAUUCGAUGCAACGCGAAGAACCUUACCAAGGCUUGACAUACACCGGAAAAGUGCAGAGAUGUGCUCCCCGCGAGGUCGGUGUACAGGUGGUGCAUGGUUGUCGUCAGCUCGUGUCGUGAGAUGUUGGGUUAAGUCCCGCAACGAGCGCAACCCUCGUCCCAUGUUGCCAGCGGGUUAUGCCGGGGACUCAUGGGAGACUGCCGGGGUCAACUCGGAGGAAGGUGGGGAUGACGUCAAAUCAUCAUGCCCCUUAUGUCUUGGGCUUCACGCAUGCUACAAUGGCCGGUACAAAGGGCUGCGAUACCGCGAGGUGGAGCGAAUCCCAAAAAGCCGGUCUCAGUUCGGAUUGGGGUCUGCAACUCGACCCCAUGAAGUCGGAGUCGCUAGUAAUCGCAGAUCAGCAACGCUGCGGUGAAUACGUUCCCGGGCCUUGUACACACCGCCCGUCAAGUCACGAAAGUCGGUAACACCCGAAGCCGGUGGCCCAACCCCUUGUGGGAGGGAGCUGUCGAAGGUGGGACUGGCGAUUGGGACUAAGUCGUAACAAGGUAACC
rnacentral:rRNA from 1 species